CGAUGGUAUUGUCUUAUUUUAUGCCCGGCUACCUGCAUAUUAACCUAUGACGGAGCAAAUUAGCAGCAAAACAACGGAAAACAUCGCGGAGAAAAUGAACCGCUUGAGUAUUCUCACAGCGCUUUUCAAAUACUUAUUGAUCUUAAGAUUUCAACCCGACCUCGUUUCGACCCAAUCGGUGCAAGACAGCCUGCAAUCAAUUAACAUAACUCGCUCGGAUAAUUUGGAUUCUAGCGAUCAAUUGAGCUUGACCGUUGUAAAUGCAACCUUUUGCCAAGACCAGAAUGCGAUCGAUAUCGGAUUGUCCGCGGAUUGUGAUGUUGUUUCGCUGGAAACGGAUGAUUCUGGCAGGGAUUUUUGUAACGUUAAAUGUGAAUGCAAUAAUGAGACUGGUAGUUUCAUCGUGCACGAGAGGCGAUGCCGUGAUGAGAGAAAAUUUAGGCAAGGUUGUAGUCUAGUAUUUGGCUCGUGGUCGUGGAACAACAGCUGGGUGUGGAAUUCUCAAAACGAUCGUCUCUUAACGUUAUACUACGAAGAUGGUUUUGGUUUUGGAGGAGGAUUUAACGUCAGCACGGCGGAGUACAGCGAGUGCGGAUACACAAGUUUAUCAACGUACAACGACGCGGGAGGAUGGGAUGUUUUUACAAUUCCGUCCAACGAAUCGUUUAUUUCUUUCUAUGAAUUAAGGGGAUAUUGGCAUUUUUAUUGGCUACUUGAAAACCUCUCGGACAACAAGAAAUUGGAAUUUGAAGGAAAAUUUAUAAAAAUAGAUAUAACUUGUGAAAAUUCGAAUGAAAUAAAUGGAAUAGUGGAUGUCAACCUGAUAUCCUCCUGUAUCGUUUUCAAAGUCACUGGAAAUAUCACACACGAAUACAAAAUGAACUCAACAAGUACUGAUGUGUACCCUAGUACUACACUUAUUCCUGUAUCAACAACCACAAAUAUUCCUAUUCAAUCCACAACUGAAAGGAUGGAACCCUCAGUAACCACUGCAGGACUAUACACAACGAGUUCCAAUGAUAGAAUUUACUUCGCUGUUACAACCUCGAAGACUGAUUUGGUUUAUACAAGCAGCUCUGUGAGUGAAAGCAGUUCAGUGAGUGAAAGCAGUUCAGCGAGUGGAAGCAGUCCAGUGAGUGAAAGCAGUUUAAUGAGUGAAAGCAGUUCAGUGAGUGAAAGCAGUCCAGUGAGUGAAAGCAGUUCAGUGAGUGAAAGUAGUUCAGUAAGUAAAAGCAGUUCAGUGUUGGAGGGCAGUACAGUGCGCAAGAGCAGUUCAGUGCUGGAGACAACUUCAGUGAAUAUAAAUAAACCAGUCACCAGUCUAUCGGAUGAAAGUAUAUCAGGUAUCGAAAGCACCUCGGUAACUACAAGUAGCUCAGAUGUCCAAGACAAUCCACAAAUUCAAAGCAGUUCGGUCAUAGAAAGCACUCCAGCUAUCAGAAACAGUCCAGUACUGGGUAGUACCUCAGUUAUAAACAAUCCGAUUACCAAAAGAAGCACAAUUGUUCAAAGCAGCCAAGUUAUUAAAAGCAGUCCAGCCACUACUUCAGCGGCACAGAGCACCCAAGGAGUAAAUCCAACGAACAAAGGCAAUCAAAUUGGCCUAAUUCUUGGGAUCGUGGUCGCCUGCAGCGCAGCGGUUGUCACAAUUACAGCCGUCAUAGUACUUACUGCGACGUCUUUACAUAAAAGUCACGUGAAACGCACGCACCUUAUUCAAGAUGACGUAUCCAGCGUUAGUAUAGCCAUGAAAUCAUUCGAUAAAAAUGCACCUACGCAUAUUUAAUUAACUUCGAUAUAGAUAUACAGUAUAUGCUGUUGAACUUUAUCUAUACUUUCAUAAUUCAUAUCUCAAGAGCAAUAUAGAAAUGGUGACGAAUUUGGCUUGAAAUUUGUUUCAAAGAUGGCGACCAUGCAGUUAUCGUUCCAGUUCACAUAGAGUUCACUGGUAUAAUCAUAUGACACUAAAACAACACAAGAAUAUAAUUAUGGGUUUUUCUGCGCGAGCUUUUAUGAAAAAUCUGUUACAGUAAAUUAACAUUCGCGUACUGUCUUCAAGAAUCAGUAUAGAGUUAUUCAAUGUACCACCAGUAAGACUAAUAAGUUUGGUUGCGAAAAUUAAUGUUAAAAACUAAAAAGUGUAAAAAAUAAUGCUUAAAAUAAAAUAUUGUGAAAUUUAGCAAAUUCUGUAUAAACCUUUUCGUAAAGCGGUAACGGUUUACUAAUUUAUACACAAUUUGCCGAUUCAAUUCGCGAACCAUUUUGCUCUGUGAAAUCAUUCAAUUCCUCCAACAAAUGCUUUCAAGACGCUGCAUGCGUCGUUGCGCGAUUAAAGCGAUUAUUUCUGGCCGAAGAUCCACGAACAUUGAAUGCAAGCUUUUGUAUACGUCCAUGUCGAUCCUGACGAAAAUCGUCCAGCACGAGUGGAAAGAGGUCUCGCCGAAUCUGAACGUCUGUAUAUGCGAUAGAGUGUUAGCAAAACCAUACAUGAUACGGCAAGCACUGCCUGUGUAUAUGUGAGAACGGGAAUUCGCUUUGCAACAAAGCACUAUCUCUCGCAUCAUUAUUAGACCCCCUAUCGUUCUCAGCCCAACCCCGUAACAUUUAUUCAAAUGAGGUUUUAUUGAAAACCGCACAAAUGAAUGCGGAAUAACAGUAUACGAGCCACAUAACUUAAACAAUUUACAAAUUGCUAGGACGCUUUAAGUUUAAUACUUCGAAUUUAGUACAGCUAGUAUAAAGGUUUCCGCGGUCGAGAAUUGCAAAGACAAGACUAUACUUCCAAACCUUGCCAAGAUCAUUGCUAAGCGAUGGACACGAUUAAGUUCACCUGUACGAAAUGUGCCUAUGUUUACGAUCCUCAGAGCAACAUGGACGAAGGAAUACCAUUCGACGAGCUUCCGGGAGAUUGGCUCUGCCCAAAAUGUUUCACUGAUAAAUCAGACUAUGUCCCAAUGACGAAGACAAAGCCGGCAGGGGAAAGAGGAAUGGCCGUCCACUCAAAAUAACUUGCUCUGGUACCGUUCCAAAACAUACAUUUCAAUGCACAUAAGAUACAUUUCGAAUGUAUAUUAUCCCCUUUUCGUAUAGUACAUAUAUGCAAUGUUGAUGCAAUUUAUAGCAAAAACAUCAUAUAGUUUGAUUUGCACUAUAACGGUAGACUAAAAUGACAGUGUCUCUGGGCCAUAAUUUGGCCCUGUAACCUUAGUAAAUGAAAUUCUGCCCGAAUUGAACCUUCAUUUGAAAUCGCUUUUUUUAUGAUUUUCGAACGUCGACGUUUGCGUUCCAUUAAAUUAAUUCGAUCGGCCGUGCUAAUAGGAAAGCGCUCAGUGAUCAAGAGCAUUUGUAGCUAAUAUUUAAGACGUUUAAUAAAUCAUUAUUCAUGUGAACAUUAAUUACAUAUUAAACAAUUGCUUCGAUGCAAUCGUCGUCAAUCAAGUCUAGAAACCUUAGUCUGUGAUCAGUUGUUUUGGUCACGUUACUGCAAACUAGUUCGCGCCUGCGCGGUGAGCAAUUCUCCGGCAAUAUCAAAUUUUGGCCUCUUCUCACACACCUCGAAGAUUACCGAAUU